AUCACUUGAGUAUAUAUGUACAGCCGACUUCCAAUCAGCAGGAUUAACCUUUAAAUGUGAUA
rnacentral:tRNA from 1 species